rnacentral:misc_RNA from 1 species
GAGAGAGAGAGAGAGAUCAUUAUUUCCUCUCUAGGAUGGUUUAUGCGGCCAGAUUAUGUAACAUAAUAUCAAUGAAACAUUUAUUAUAAAAUAGCUUGUAUGGAGGAAAUUUAUUGGAAAUUAAUUCCAAACUUGUGUGUGCAAAGUGAUGUUAUUUAAUAUCUUGCAUUUUUAAAAAAAAUAAAUGGUCUUCAGAUUAGAGGUCUUUCUUCUAUCUUGAGAGAGAGAGUAGUUGGACAAGAAAAGAGAAGAAAUUGCAGAAGUAAAAAGGGCUUACAUUUUCCUUGUAGAAAGAUUUCUUUAGGCUAAUAGGCUGAUUGAAAGGUCUCAUGUUGUCUCUCAGCCAUGGAUUUCAUUUCAAUCACUUCAUUUUGGGCAGAAUUAUGAAGCAAAAAUAAUAAAUUAGGGGCAAUAAUAUCAAUGAUCUGAAAAUAUAAUUGGCUAUCAAGGUCCUGCAAACCUACUGUAAUUGAAACAUUACUUGUAACAGAAUUUUGGUAAUUGUAGUAAUUUAGUCACCAGCCAAGUUAAUUUUCCAUGCUCAACAUGCACUAAUUGAAGAUAACGGUGGGCUUGAAGAUUUGGGACAAAUUGUUGACAAGAACAAGUAGUCUUACCAUCAAUAAUUUGAUUUAGUGACCAGCAACUAAAGGAAUGCAUUCAGAGAUGAAUGUAAGGCACUGUUCACCUUGAUGAGAAACAAAGGAAGACUUGGAAACUAACCAUUCUAAUGAACGCCAAUAUUCGCAAGAUGUUGGAAGUAGCAGGGAUGACAUAAGAUUCUCAUGAUUUCAUUGAACUUUAGGCUUUUCUAUGCUGCAAACUAUUGAUUUUAUUGGGGUUAAUUAUAUCUAUUAUACUAUUGCUCCAUAAUUGGCAACUAUUGUUAAUCUGAUGACAGUUCAAGCAAAGGUGUUUGUGGUGAAUUACUUGAAGAAAUUGCAGCUAAUACUAUAUUUGAAAUAUUUGUUCUUUUUUGGCUUGAGAGAUUACAAGUUCAAGCAAUCAACUUGAGGGUGAAUUUUCAUCAAGUAGACGGGUCUGAUGCAUGGGUUCUACAAACCUGCUAUAAUUAAAAUAUUAUUAAUAAUAAUUGUAGUAGUUUAGUUGGUUUAUCUCUUAUUUCCUUGUAUUUAAGGUACUCCUAGAGCUUUUAUCAUUCCUAUUUUAUCUCAAAUUGCUGAUCUCAAGUGGUCAGGCGUUGUCUGUUUGGCAUUAUUGUUUGAGUUGCUAUCAAGGAAAAACAUUAUCUUAAAAAUGUUCAUUAGAGAGCUUUAAAAUUUGGUUAUAAUUUAAAUUUGACAUGUUUUAGUUAUAAUAACUUCAAAAUAGCAUUUUCUCAAAAAAAAAAAAACUUCAAAAUAGCAAAACAACUAUUUCAAAAUGCUUUUUCCAACAUCCAUCUAAAAAUUGCUUUUCCAACAAAGUAGUUUCAUUCUCAAUGCCAAACAGGCUCAAGUAUCUAGCUAUUUUCUGCCCUUCCCUCCCCAUCAAUUUUCCCUUUUGGCCAAUCUAAGAAGUUCAGUUGUAUGCAUGUGAACUGAUUUCUGACCAUAGUUAUAUUAUUAGUGGUGCUGGAACAGAAUUUGUUUGUAGUCAGAAUGAAGAAAUCUAGCAUGCAGUUGCAGUUUCAUCAAAUGCCUGGUUCCCACCAGCCCCUUACCUUUGUAAAAUUGUCCAAAUAUAAUUUUCUACUCUUAUAAAUAUGGAUUUUGUGUGUAAUAUUAAGGAGAGAUUCUAAUUAAAUAAAAUUUUAGUUUGUUCACCUUGUCGUGUAUUCUAGAAUUCAUUUUUCUUUGUACAUUUAAGGAUGAUCGAGGUUUAGUCAUGUUCCAGUCAUGUCUAUUGCUCUUGCAUCCUUCAUCACUUAUGGACACAUAAUAGGGUGUUGUAGGCCUGGCUGCUGAAGUACUGAUAGAGCCUUGCGUAAGGGAGUAGAUGGUAGUCUGAAUAAAUAUCCAAACCAAAUUGUAAAAUUAGGUUCAUAAAUUUUAAAACCAAAUUAAACUAUUUAACUCAAGGAACACAACCAAACCAAACUAAAACAUAAUGUUAUUACUAUUAUCUUGUUCUUAAAAUAGUUUUGGGUUAGGAAAUGAGGUUCUCUCUUGGGCUAAAGUAACAGUAUAUACUGCUUGCAAUAUAACUUGUGUUUACCUCAAAAAAAUAAAAGGGAAAAUAUUUCAUAAAUAUUCUGAAUGAAUCCCACUAAGGAACCUUGGAUUGUUACAUUGAUACAUAUUUACUGCUUAUGGGUGCUAUACAAAUCUCAUUAGCUUUCAUACCAUGGUGUGUAGGGUGUAUUUAUUUAUUUGGUGGGGUAUUGCAUAUUGUUUCCUCAAUUUGCUUGCUUGUUUGUCUAUCUACAGUAUAUGUUUGCAUGUACUUCAGUUUCAUUCUUAUCAGGUAACUUUAUGAGAAAUUGCAUAUGUUGUUGUGUUGAAACCUUCUACAAAUAACAGAAAUGUAAUUAAAUAAAAGGAUGUGACUGGGUGUUCUCUUUUUGUUGCUUAUUUUCUUUCUUGCUUUUGUUGGUACUUGCUGAAUAGCUUGGUAAGAGAUAGCAGUGUUGGAUUCAAGACUCACUUUUUGUUAAGUUACCCUUGCCCCUCGCCCCUUUUCUUCCUUCUGAAUGAAAUCAAUAUAUGUGUGAGUGAAUUCUAUUCAAAUUUAUAUGUGCUUAGUCAUCCACCUUGAUUGCUUGUACGUUUUGUUUGUUUCAGGGUUUUGUUUCAGCAGUGAGUA